AUUGAACGCUGGCGGCAUGCCUUACACAUGCAAGUCGAACGGCAGCACGGGAGCAAUCCUGGUGGCGAGUGGCGAACGGGUGAGUAAAGUAUCGGAACGUGCCCAGUCGUGGGGGAUAACGUAGCGAAAGUUACGCUAAUACCGCAUACGAUCUAUGGAUGAAAGCGGGGGAUCGCAAGAACUCGCGCGAUUGGAGCGGCCGAUAUCAGAUGAGGUAGUUGGUGGGGUAAAGGCUCACCAAGCCGACGAUCUGUAGCUGGUCUGAGAGAAUGACCAGCCACACGGGGACUGAGACACGGCCCAGACUCCUACGGGAGGCAGCAGUGGGGAAUUUUGGACAAUGGGCGAAAGCCUGAUCCAGCCAUGCCGCGUGCAGGAUGAAGGCCUUCGGGUUGUAAACUGCUUUUGUACGGAACGAAAAGGUUUGGCCUAAUAAGCUGAGCUCAUGACGGUACCGUAAGAAUAAGCACCGGCUAACUACGUGCCAGCCGCCGCCGUAA
rnacentral:rRNA from 1 species